UCUUCCUGGGAAGCGCAAGGCAUUAGCUCAAAAUAGAGCUUCUAUCCAUGGAUAAAUUUGGAAUGGAAUUAUCCCGUCUACUAUGCAGGUGAUUUCUAUGGUAGAUAGAAGUUUACCUGUUUCUGUUACUGAUUUUUAAUUCGUGGUCAUAACGGUCCCUUUGGUGUAACAGAAAAAGAGAUCUAUGAAAACUUUAAAGUGGACUUACGUUCCCUGAAAAAUGGAGAACUUCUGAGGGAGAUUAAAGAAAUACAAAGAAUUAUUUUGGCAAACAAGCCAACAAAACAACCCCAGCAUUGCAGGUGGCCUGGCUGCAGCUCUGCGUGCACUCCCAGCAAUCCCCUGUAAGUCCAAAAGAACUCCAUCCCUACACUACAGCAGGAGCCAGGGUACUUCCAAAGGACAUCUUCCUGAUGAGAUCCAGCAGUGUAAUGUCUGAAUCAGACAGGUGACAGAUGUCUUAGGACCUUUUGCAUCCUUGCAUAGUGGAAAGAGUUCUCAGCAGCUAAUGCAACCUGAUGAUAUAAGGCGGCCUCCAAGAGUAAUUGCAGUUACUUAAGUUCAGUGACUACUGGCUGUGCCAAUAGUUGAACGUAUGCUCGUGUUUUGCUGUGCUGUGGACUUGCUCUGGAUGGAUUUAUUGCUGGUAAUUUGAGGAAGGCACUGUAAGUGGGAGGCUGCUUGUGUCACCUGAGGAACAUCUCCAGAUGACCACAACUGGGAACUAAACUGGACCCUGAGCAACUACCUGUGACACAUACAAGUGGAGUUGUUUCACUGUGACCCUCAGUGCCUUAAUGUAGAGCUAGGACCUCACGAUCCCAUGGUGGAGCCCUUUGGAGUAAAGAUACUGCUGUCUUUUUCUCUUAAACUCAUGUUUUAAAGCUAUAACCCAUUUUGAGAUGCAGAGGAAGGAGCUCCAGAUUGUGACUCCCUAGUCAACUGCACAAUGGGAGAUGCCAGUUUGCCCAGACUUGGCAUGAAUACCAUGCGGACAACUUAGCUUUGCUGCCGGCCCACAGAGCUUCACACUCGCUCCUUUUGAUGAUUGCUCUUUUAGUUCUGUCAGUGGUGCCCAACCUUUUCAGCCUUGCAGGCCACAAUAACCUUAAGCUACUCACUAAGCUGUACCUUGCAAUAACCAGAACAAUUCUUAAUACUCAUGGACAGCUCUUGGGUAGCUCAUGCAUUACUCAGCCCAUGCAUCCGGGCAAGUCUGUGUGUCCUGAGGGACACCUAGGAAAGUAGGAAGCUAUCAGCAUGCGGCUGCUUGAAAUAACUGCCUUCGGUCUGCUUCUGCUGAAGCAGACUAGAAGAAGUAUUCUCAUGGAAGAGGCCUGUGUUGGCUUCCCUGUUUCUCUUGAGAGCUUCUUGGAGUCAGCACCUGGGUACAUUGUGAGCCAGAUGAAUUUCUCUGGCAGCGGUGGUAACUCAAGAGAUUUCUUAGAGGAUCUGUGCCCCAUGUGUCCCUAGGAGGAAGUGAUGGGAGAGGCUAGCAAAUAUCCCAGAAAGGAGCCAUGUAAAUCUCCCAGGAGCUGGCUGCAAAUGCUCAGAAUUGUUCUGGUGGGCUGUAGAUCUUCAUAUUCCUGUACUGAUACCCCUGGUUGCCAUAGAUUUCAAACCCACAAUGCCAACAAUGUGGGCAAAAAAAUACUCCUCCUGAAUAAAUCUGGUGUGUGUUGACUAUUGCUUGGCUAUGUAAUUGCCAGUGGGACCAUCACCAAAAGCUAAUGGCUGUCUUGAUAUUUCAUUCCUGAGGCAAUUUCCUUGGAGGCAACGUAGCAAACUCCUUCCGUAAAGUGUCUAUCAUUGCUCAUGCAGUUUGACCCAACAUUAAGCUCACUCUGGCAUGGCAGUUGAAGAGUCUGAAAAAUCUCUUGACUUGAAAUCAUGUCUAGUAACUCUAUUAACCAUGUUAAACAAGAUGGCUGGGUUAAACAGUAUGAAUCUUCUCAAGUUUCUUUUUGUGAAAGGAACCUAGUACUAAGAGUUUCUUGUGGUCCAAGAAAUGUAUUUUCUACAUCUGUAAAUUUCACACAAGAAGCGGU